rnacentral:rRNA from 1 species
CAGCCGCCGCGGUAAUACGUAGGGUGCGAGCGUUAAUCGGAAUUACUGGGCGUAAAGCGUGCGCAGGCGGUUAUAUAAGACAGAUGUGAAAUCCCCGGGCUCAACCUGGGACCUGCAUUUGUGACUGUAUAGCUAGAGUACGGUAGAGGGGGAUGGAAUUCCGCGUGUAGCAGUGAAAUGCGUAGAUAUGCGGAGGAACACCGAUGGCGAAGGCAAUCCCCUGGACCUGUACUGACGCUCAUGCACGAAAGCGUGGGGAGCAAACAGGAUUAGAUACCCCCGUAGUCCCUGUCUCUUAUAC